UGGUCGGUGACAGCCCUGUCCAUGGCAGGGGGUUGGAACUGUAUGUGCUUUGAAAUCCUUUCCAACCCAACCAAUUUGUGAUUCUUUGGUUUCCCUACCAGAAGGCCACUACCACCGCCCCAUUCUGCAGUGGCCUCAUCUGUGCUUCAUCCAGGUGGGCUGAGCCCUGCCAGGAGCACAGCACCAGCCCUGGGUCCCUCAGUGUCCAUAUUGCAAGGCCCUGCGAGGCGUGGUCCCUUUGUCUGGUAGCUGUCCCCCCCCAGCUCUGUGUUUUGCACAGCCAUUCGCGGCAGAUCCACAUUAGCAGGAGGUGUCUGCAGGGCAGUGUGGUGUUGCGGUGGAUGCAGCGAGCGGGGGGCUGCCUAGAAGUCUUUGUCAAAGGGGGUUAUGUCAAAUGGAGUGAACACAGGUUGGGUUUGCACAGUAUAGUUUGAACCAUUGCCUAUGAUGCAGCUAAUCAAUGUUACAUCUAUUAGUGAAUUACCGUGAGCACCCAAUGCAGAGGAGGAACUUGCUCUGUUCCACGCCUGGAUUAAUUGCUUAGAUCUGUGGUCUGAACACACAAUUGCUUAGCCAAAGCCUGCUGCUGUUCAGGCAUUCCUGUCCCCUGGCUGCCCACUGCUGACCUGCAGCAGCAGCAGCAGCAGCAGCUCCUCUCUAUGUUCAUGCGUGCAGGUGCACGUGCUGUGCUUCUGUUCCACGCAGAGCCCAGCAUCCUGCAGCAUGAGAAAUGCAGCAGGGCUGAGCGAGGGAAGAGGCCCAGCCCCAGGGCCCUGACUGCAUAUCCUGCCAGGACUGCUCUUUGCUCUCUUCUGCUCCUGGGAAGCAGGGGUGCUGCCUCCAUGGGGCAGCAGCCACAGUUCAGCCGCUCCAUGCUGUCACUGGGUACAAUGUGUCAGGCACCCAACCACACUGCUUCACGGGCUGUCACCCUGAUUACACUCUGUGAGCGGGCAUCUGAUGCAUUGGUGUCAGAAUUCACUAAAUUUAAUGGAAGCUGCAGCAGGCAGUAUGAGGGGACAGCAAGUCUGGGAUGUGAAGCAUGAAGAAGGAAGAGGUCAAGGAGCUCCGUGAUGGCAUAGGGCUUAGGACGAGGGCUGGAACCAGAUGAUCUUUAAGGAUCCAUCUCAUGGGCAAGAGAUCAUCUCUUUCUGCGUCUGUGUUCUCAUCCACUUCCUUCCUAUGCUCCUUGGUGAUGUCACAGAGAAACUGAACCGAAUAGAUCAAGAAUCGUCUCUUUUAAAGCCUUUGGUUACCAGAUCCUACAGCUCCCUUUUUUGGGGGGAGUAGAGUGGUGAUGCAGAGGGGAGGAUGGGGAAGAGAGAUCAAAAAGAGAGCCUUGUGUGUAAAAAAGGGGAAGGUGCUCCUGGGGUCUGCGCUGCAUCUCUUCCUAAUUCUUUCAUGCUCUGCCCACUUGAUGAGAGCAGCCAUAAAAGAGACGUGGGUAUAAUGGGAAAACAGACAGAAGAGAAUGUCUGUCAAGAUGGAAACCACUAGUCUAGGAGUCAAGAGCACCCUUGGGAAGCACAGUGGGCAUUCUUGAAGUGCAGCCAGUACUGACACACAUCCUGACAUACCCUAGAUAAGUUAAAAAAAAAACAAAAAACAAAAUUACCACAGCCAAACAAAAAAGCCCUACCAAAACUAAUCCACGAAACAAAACAAAAAAAAGUGACAACAAACUUAUCUGAAAACGUGGAGAAAUAGUCUGGAAAGAUGAAAAACAGCCUGAGAAAGUAGGAAACAUACAUGAAAAAUAGAAAAAGAAUUUAUCUUGAAAAAUAGAAAAACAGUCUGGGAAAGUAAAAGUUGUUUGAGAAAAUGAAAAACAGCAUCAUCUAUUGGCUAUUCCAGGUAAAAACAGAAACCGGCAGCAUCUACUAGCUGCUCCAGGUGGCGUUGUCCUGUGCCCCCUUAUGUCCCUCACACACACAGAAAAACUUGCUUUCUACACAAAAUGGAUCCUCACUCAGAGCUUCCCCUGCAAGGACUUUUGCACUCAAGAUCUCCUGUACGGUGCAGACCCUCAUCAACAACACCUGUCUGACUGCAGGCUCAUAGGAAAGUAUAAAGACUAUAUAGAUAUAUACAGACAUGAAUGUAAGUAUAGUUGCUUUACUGUUGGUAAUUUUUUGUAACUUGUACUACCUGCCUGUUUCAUUAGUAGUAAUUUGUAGUAAUCUGUGAUAAAUUUAACAAACAAAAUAUCCGUGUCACUGUGUAUUACAGAUUCCAACGAGCCCAUUGCUGCAAUCCUUACACACCUGCAAGCUGGCUGUGGCAUGACUUCCCGUGACAGUUCCGUAUACCAGCUCACCUGCUGUCCAGACUGUAGAAUCACAGAAUUGCCUGGGUUGGAAGGGACCUCAAGGAUCAUGAAUCUCCAACCCCCCUGCCACACGCAGGGCCACCAACCAUCCCACCUAAUGCCAGACCAGGCUGCCCAGGGCCCCAUCCAAUCUGGCCUUGAAGGUUCACCAGAACUGCUAGGGAGGCAGUGCCUGGGGUGCCAGAACUGGAGGAGGGUCUGCAUGCUCACAGACAAAAUUGCCAAUCCAGAAUACUAACCAGGACAAGUCCCCUGCACAACACUCAGCCACAAGCAAAUAUUCUGAGGUCCCCACCCACCACCCUGCUUGGCCCUGCAGGCAGAAAAAGCAGCACAAAGCUCAGCAAGAUCCAGCUGUCAGCUCUGAGGAAGUUGUUUCUCAAGACCACUAAAACCAUCUCCAUGCUAAAUCCAAGCCAGAAGGAAACUAUUUUUUUUUUUUAAAUUUUAAAUGGUUGAAGGCUACCCCCUAUGGAGAACUGCAGAACUCAACCAAAGGACAGAGUGAGACAUGAAAAAGGAGAGUACCAUCAGCUUCACCCCAUAUGUUUGUGUUCCUGGGAAGCCAAAUUAUGUUCCUGGCAAAAAUUGCCUUUGGUUUUUGGAAAAAAAAAAUUUCUCAGUACUUUCGGACUGCAUGUAUAGACAAUGACAGGAGCAAGGACAAUAUGGAGGGAAGCAAGUAGCUCAAGAGUGGGUUUGAAGAGAACAAAACAGGGAAUUGUAUAUAUGAUGGGGCCCUCCCAAGCUUCAGAAGUGACUCAAGGUAGGAGUCUGUCCAUUUUCUUUUGAAGAGUCUGUCAGCCUCCUGGUGGCAAUGAUCUACUAAUCAGAUCGAGGAUAUAUUGCUGCUGGCAGUUACUGUGAAACAGCUGAAGCCAAUAAAAGCCAAUUGUAAAUGAA